rnacentral:pre_miRNA from 1 species
AUACUACUCUCUCCGUUUCAUAAUUAUUGUCGAAAUAUUACAUGUAUCUAGACACUUCUAGGAAUAGAUACAUCCAUUUUUGGUCAAAAUUGAGACAAGAAUUAUGGAACGGAGGGAGUACUUU